rnacentral:rRNA from 1 species
AUGGCCUCCAACAACAACAAAAAAAUGGCGAAGGGGGGCAGUAGUAAGACGGUUACUCCACUGAAGAUUUAUUCGGCUUCGCCAACACCUAAUACUCGACAACAUGAUGCCACGAGUUCACGGGCUGCCACGGGGGGCAGUAGCAAGACAGUUACUCCACUAAGGAUUCAUUCGGCCUCGCCAACGCCUAAUACUCGACAACAUGAUGCCACGAGUUCACGAGCUGCCACGGGGGGCAGUAGCAAGACGGUUACUCCACUGAAGAUUCAUUCGGCUUCAACGACAUCUAAUACUCGACAACAUGAUGCGGCGAGUUCACGGGCUGCCACGGGGGGCAGUAGCAAGACGGUUACUCCACUGAAGAUUCAUUCGGCUUCGCCAACACCUAAUACUCGACAACAGGAAGCCUUGAAUGCACGGGCUGCCACGGCGAUGAGUAUGAAUCCUGUUACUCCAGUGACAUUGCGUAAUGCCGGUAAACAUGCAUCUUCAGCUAGUGGUAUGCCUGCGAGUGGAAGGAGACCAUCCACAACAGAGCAGCAGAAACAAAGUCAGGCAUCUUCUACUGGUUUGUACCUUGUCACUCGAGCUGGAGAUCAACCCAGACGUCAAGCCCCAUCAUCAUCAGCGAGCAAUAGGAAUGGGCAAUCAUCAGCAAGCAGCAGUCAAAGGGGGCAUGCAGAGUCUCAUGGUGCCGGAAAACCGAAGUCUACAGGAACAAAAAACAAGUGA